rnacentral:lncRNA from 1 species
UUCUCUCAGCACGACAGAUGAAAAUUCUGGAGGAGGCAGAUCUUCUCUUGACGGAAUAGGCUUGCGUGGGUAGAUGGUGGAGUCGAUCAGAGUCGCAAGAAUACUGAAUCUUAAGUAGAAGGAAUAGGAUAGAAAGUGGGCCUCACACCCUCCCCUUAUAGGGCAAUUUUGGAUCUCACACCCUCUCCCUCUCGGAGCGAUUGACACAAGUAUUUGUGGAGUUUGUAAAAUCAUUCAUUAUCUUUUUUCAUGAAAGAUACAAGGAUUUAUAUAGGACUCUAAGGGUCCUGUUUGUUUAGGAAUCUCUUAUCUUUACAAGGAAGAAAUCAACCCUCCAUAAAAAAGUAAAGCAUUAUAAUCUACCAUAGGAAAGAAAUCAACCUUCAACAAAAUAAGUAAGUAGCCAAGAACUCUUAAGGAAUUCUAAAGA